CCUACGGGUGGCAGCAGUGAGGAAUAUUGGUCAAUGGACGCAAGUCUGAACCAGCCAUGCCGCGUGCAGGAAGACGGCCCUAUGAGUUGUAAACUUCUUUUGUACGAGGGUAAACCCAGAUACGCAUAUCUUUCUGUAAGUACCGUACGAAUAAGGAUCGGCUAACUCCGUGCCAGCAGCCGCGGUAAUACGGAGGAUUCAAGCGUUAUCCGGAUUUAUUGGGUUUAAAGGGUGCGUAGGCGGUUGGAUAAGUUAGAUGUGAAAUCCCGAGGCUCAACCUCGGAAUUGCAUCUGAUACUGGUAGGCUAGAGAGUAGUUGCGGUAGGCGGAAUGUAUGGUGUAGCGGUGAAAUGCUUAGAGAUCAUACAGAACACCGAUUGCGAAGGCAGCUUACCAAGCUACUACUGACGUUGAGGCACGAAAGCGUGGGGAGCAAACAGGAUUAGAUACCCUAGUAGUC
rnacentral:rRNA from 1 species